rnacentral:rRNA from 1 species
CCUACGGGAGUCUGCAGUGAGGAAUAUUGGUCAAUGGACGAGAGUCUGAACCAGCCAAGUAGCGUGAAGGAUGACUGCCCUAUGGGUUGUAAACUUCUUUUAUGAAGGAAUAAAACGAGGCACGUGUGCCUUUUUGCAUGUACUUUAUGAAUAAGGAUCGGCUAACUCCGGUCCAGCAGCCGCGGUAAUACGGAGGGUGCAAGCGUUGUCCGGAAUCAUUGGGCGUAAAGAGGUCGUAGGUGGCAUAUUAGUUCUGGUGUGAAAGGCAGAAGCUCAACUUCUGUUCGGAACUGGAUACUGGUAAGCUUGAAUGCGGGAGAGGGAAAGGGAAUUCCUGGUGUAGCGGUGAAAUGCGUAGAUAUCAGGAGGAACAUCGGUGGCGUAAGCGCUUUACUGGGCCGUAAUUGACACUGAGGAACGAAAGCCGGGGUAGCAAAUGGGAUUAGAUACCCGUGUAGUC